rnacentral:lncRNA from 1 species
GCCCCAGGGGGUGAGGGACCACCCUCAGGUUUUUGUCCCUGUCUUCAAGGAGCUCUCUGCUUGCUCCACGGAUGUCGCCUCCAGCCCCCCUCGGCACAGCUAAGCUGUAAAAGAGCUUUAUGUCCAUGUUCAGGAGUUUGUUCUCCACACUAUUACCUCAUGUCAUGGGUUUUUGUGCUUGUGGCCAGCAGAACUAAUUACCCCAGCCUGAUCCAUUAACAUGGUCCAAGCCAAGCUAAGAUGUCUGCAGAAUCAGUCACCACAAAAAACAGGAGUGAUGAUGAUGGUCACUCUGAAUUUCAGUGCAAGUCACUCGUUCCUACCAGGAACAGGAGGAUCUAUGGGUCUGCAUGGGUUCAGAAAUGAUGGAUCAUCUUUGGACACCGUUGCUGUCAAACAUGCAGAUGAGAAGUAGUAACUUCAUUAGGUAAUCAAAAAAAUUAAUUUGCCUUUCCUAGUUUAAAUCUCAGUGAACGUAAAAUAUUCUGACAUCUAC